UCUNANACGUNGGCACGUGGNUUAGGCAUGCANGUCGAACGGGAAGCCGUUGAUCAAUUCUUCGGAAGAGUGAAGCGGUGGAGAGUGGCGAAAGGGUGAGUAACGCGUGUAUAACCUACCUUUAAGUUGGGGAUAGCUCGCUGAAAAGCGGGAUAAUACCGAAUGUGAUCCUCUCACGCAUGUGAGGGUGAUCAAAGAUGGGGACCCUUCGGGGCCUGUCGCUUGAAGAGGGGUACGCGUCCUAUCAGCUUGUUGGUGAGGUAACGGCUCACCAAGGCUUACGGGUAGCUUGGUCUGAGAGGAUGAUCANUCACACUGGGACUGANACACUGCCCANACUCCUACGGGAGGCUGCANUCNAGGAUCAUUCCAAUGCCGAAAGCGUGACAAUGCNACNCUGCNUGAANGAUACACCUUCNGNUUGUAACUCCUGUCUNAAGGAAUAAANGUUCAUAUCAUNANGUUUA
rnacentral:rRNA from 1 species